GGGGGCGUAACUCAGUGGUAGAGUGUCCGCUUCGCAUGCGGAAAGCCGCGGGUUCAAACCCCGUCGCCUCCA
rnacentral:tRNA from 1 species